UAAAAGACACAGACUGGCAAAUUGGAUAAAGAGUCAAGAACCAUCAGUGUGCUGUAUUCAGGAAACCCAUCUCAUGUGCAGAGACACACAUAGGCUCAAAAUAAAAGGAUGGAGGAAGACCUACCAAGCAAAUGGAAAACAAAAAAAGGCAGGGGUUGCAAUCCUAGUCUCUGAUAAAACAGACUUUAAACCAAGAGACAAACUUAGGCACAUUAAAUUUUUUAAAGAGUUUAUUUGAGCAAACAGCGAUUCAUAAAUCCGCCAGUGCCAGAUCACUAGCAAUUCAGGGCUCCACAGAGGUGCUGUGAAGGGAAAAUUGUAUAAGAUGUUCUGGCAAGCAAGACAGAGAAAAUAUUUGAUUAAAGUGGAAAGUCCCUAGUUAGAGGUUUCUGGCAGUUUCUGAUUGGUUAACCCUGUUUUGCUGUCCUAGGCUGUGACCCUUCACUUUGAGUUGGGUUUCACUUUGCUGAUGUAGGUACUCAAGGUUCUGGAGCUGUCUCAGGCUAAUGGCCUCCCAAUUAAUUUUUGUAAAACAACUUUCAGCAAAAUUCUUCAGAGGGAGGAUGGGUUCAAAAAUGCCCCAAGAUUCAUCUUGGCUACACACAGAGUGGUAACCAGUAUUUACCUCCUUACUCAGGGAUCAUCUCACUUGUCAUUUUGCAAGAGAAGAGGAAGAAAGAAUAACCUGCUACUCUUCUAAACUCUACUUGGAAAAUUGCAGGAAUUUUAUCAGCCAUCCGUGAGCACAAGAAGAUAUAAGCAAAAGCCACACAGAGAGAAGACCUGUUCUAGACUCUUAUCAGCCAAACACAAUGCCCAAGAAACAGCUAGAAGGUUUCAUUUAACCAGAGAAGAGCUCCUGCUUUGAAAUGUUUUCAAAGUUUCCAUGACAAAAUAUUCUUUCACAGUCUCUGCUUCAGUGAGCUGCUUUGUAUUUCUAGCGCAGCUAAGCAAUUAAAAGAAGAUGAAUAGAUGUAUUCCGGCAUGUGUGAUAACAAAUGGCAUACUUAAGGUGACAAGGUUUUCUGUGUUAACUGGCUUUGCAGUCACUUGCAAGUUUUUGAAAAAUACUCCCUUUUAUCGGAAGUUUUUCCCUUCUUAAUCUCAGCUUAAAGGCUAUUUUUUCUCAAAGCAAAUUGGAGGAGGACUUUUGAAGUCAUCUUUGAUGGGACAAAAUAUAUGUACAUAUUCUCUCUGUGCAAAGGAAUUGCUGCUUUUCUUAUGACAGCUUAAAAUUGAUAAAGUUUUAAGCAUCAAGACAUUCACCAUUACAAAAGAUGCUCAUGUGUCUAUGAAUGAUGAGACUUCCACAGGAAACCAAGGUGGUCCAUUUAAAUUGCUACUCUAUGGCUCCUGUUGGCAGUAAUGUUCAUGUAAACUGGAGAGGCUCUCCAAAGAUCUUGAACUCAGGACAUUUUUGGAUCUAGACUAUUCUUAGGGACAGGAAAUAAUGGGAAUUUAGAUACCAUUUUGAUUGCAAGUUGAUGGAAAGUUGGCAUGUUUGGAGGAAGACACCAGCCCUUGAGAUUUACCAUUUUGGUAGUGACAGAGACCACCAGGAGCUUCCAGCUGCCCUGUCUUGCUGUAAUGGCACUCACUCCAUGCACUUGUCCUCAAUGUGGGUGGUAUCAUCUGAAAGGACAUUUUGGAAAUUUGUGGGUACAUUUCUCAUUACUGCAAUGAUUAUCUGUGCUGCUAGAUUUUGUGGAUAAGGGCCAGGGAUGUCAUAUACAAGACAGACCUAAGCAAGAGAGAAUCAUCCUACUGCUGUACAAAUUGCAGUAGCAUUCCAGAUAUUCCAUCGACUAAGACCUAACUCCAUCUUUCAUGGAAUGCUAUUGUGCUUCCAUUGUUUCAAUAUUCUUCAAAUUUUCCUGUAGUGGAACUCCCAUGCAAAUUGGGGUUUGGUCUUACUUUGUUUGGAAUUUUUCAAGAGUUUCACACCACUUAGCAAAAUCACAUCUUUGAAGGUAAUGGCACUUGUGGCACUUGGGUUGCCAACACAACACACAUGCAUUGGUCUACACUGGCAGCUGUAGCAUUCAUAGGAUACUAUGUACCCUGUACCCAGGCUGGAGUACAGUGAAUGGAACAAGCAUCUGAGUAAUUCAUUAUGACUUCUAAUGCAAUCAUGCCUAAGUAUUUCCUUCUAUUUCUUUUGUUUUUUUCUUCAUAUUACUGUUAGGCCAUUCUAUUGUCCUUUAAAAACUUAGGUUUGUAUGUUAUUAUCUAUGAAUUUUAUUUCAGGAAAGUAAAGCAGGCUGUAUAAAAUGUCUGAAGGAGGCUGGGCACAGUGGCUCACGCCUGUAAUCCCAGCACUUUGGGAGGUUGAGGUGGGCAGAUCACAAGGUCAGGAAUUUGAGAACCAGCCUGGCCAAUGUAGUGAAACCCCGGGCAUGGUGGUGUACACCUGUAAUCCCAGCUACUUGGGAGGCUGAGGCAGGAGAAUCAAUUGAACCCGGGAGGCAGAAGUUGCAGUGAGCCGAGAUCAUGCCUGGGCCACAGGGGGAGACUCCAUCUAAAAAAAAAAAAAAAAAAUCUGAAUCCUGGGUCUGACUGGCUUAAGAUUCACCACUUUAUUGGCCCCUAAAUUAAGAAGCCAGGGAGGGAAUUCUGUCAGCUGAUGAGCCAGCAAUGCCAUAUCCAAGAAAAGGGGAAAUAAUCUCUAAUUGUGAGAUUCCACCCAGACUACAAUAAAAUGUUCUUGGUUCAGAAUUGAUCAAUAUUCAUCAGCAGACUUGCAUAUGACCCUCUCUCACAGGUGAAACACCUGUGGUGCUUAGGGUGACCAAGUUUUAAAGUUAGCUUCAGCAAGUGACUAAGAGUCCCCAGUGCCACAGAUUCUCUUUGAAGUUUAGGGAAAAGAUUCACAGUAAAUGCUUGUGUGUUGCAAAGCCCUCCUCAAGGACCUGCAGAUUCUUCCUCAGCUAAGGAGCUCUGUAUCUGUGAGAUAUGUGAUUGUUAGGCCUCUAUUCACCAGCCUGGAGACUUAGUUACAGCAUCAAGAUGCACUUUGGUAGUCUACUCAUUUAUUUUGGUGCUAUGGACCUCAUGGUCAAUUAUCCUCUGUGGAAAAGCCCACUUAAGUCAGCCACUGCAAUUUUCACCCUGGCCCUUCUUUUUGUUGUGGUAGGUAUUACCGUUUUCUGUUGGCAUUUCAUCAGGGCUCCUGAGUCUCCGCCAUCUCAGGAUCCUGCUAUCACCAAGGAAAUAUAAGAGCUCAUUUCACUGCAGUGUCUCCUACCAGUGUCCUGGCAUUAGGAAAGAACCACUUAAGUGCUUUUCAGAGAUGCUAGCAGUCUUCUUGCCAGUGUAUUUCCCAAGGCUAUGGUGAACAAAGUGUCACGUGCCCUUGAAGGACAAGUUAGAGGAUGGGUGAAGAUGAAUAUGACUCAUCCAUUUUGGUAUUCUUAUAUUAUUAGUUCUCUAUAUAUCUUCUUGUUUAUUAUACCAAGAUUAAAAUUUUAUUAAAAAUUAUUUUAUAGAGACAGAGUUUUGCUUUGUCACCCAGGUUGGAGUACAGUGAUUUUAUGACAGCUCAUGGCAGCCUCAAUUCCGUGGGCUCUAGCUAUCUUCCUACCUCAGUCUCUGGUGAAUUUUUAAUUUUGUUGUAGAGACGGGGUCUUGCUAUGAUGCCCACACUGAUCUCGAACUCAUGGGCUCAAGCAAUUCUCCUGCCUCAACAUCCAAAAGUGCUGGGAUUACAGGUGUGAACCACUGCACCCAAUCAAGGCUGUUUUUCUUUUUCUGGCAUGCCAACUUCAUUUAGUAUUAUCUACUGUCAUGUCUAGGUUUCAGGAAAAUCAUCCUAAUGUCAAUCAAAACCACUUGUAGCUGCUUGAAUUAGUUGAUCAAAUACAUAAUCUUUGGUGAAUGUACUUGUGCUGAAUACAUUUGUUUGAGCACCUUGAGAAUUCAUUUCCACACAUAUUCCCAGAUUUUUCUGACAUGAAAUUGUAGAGCCCAGAAAUUCUUUUGGUAUAUAAGACUUCUCAAGUGUUUGACUUUCAAAUUGUAUUCCCAAGACAUUCUGGGAUCUGACUACAUAGUUUUAAGACUAGUAGUAGAGAGAAAUGAAGGAUAAAGAGAGAAUUGGCUUUUCCUUGCAAAGCAAGUUCUUCAUAUGAUAUUACUAGGGGGUCUUCAAGUACAGUAGAGAUAACUUCAUCAGACAGGGAUGGAAGAGCUGAACCUUCUGUGGCAGUUGAAGGUUCAAGGCAUUUAAAGUUCUCCAAAUCUUCCCACAUAUAGUGUAUUCAUCAGCUUGGUCUACCAUAACAAAAUACCAUAGACUGGGUGGCUUGAACCAUAAGAAUGUAUUUAUUAUAGUUCUGAAGGCUGGGAAGUCCAAGAUCAAAGUUUUAGCUGAUCUGGUUCCCUGGUGAGGGCUUUCUUUCUGAUUUGUGGAUGGCUGCUGAUACGACUUGGUUGUUUUGUCCUCUCCAUAUCUCAUGUUGAAAUGUGAUCCCCACUGUUGGAGAUGGGACUUGGUGGGUGGAGUCAUGUUAGAGUCACGGGGAGUAGAUCUCUCAUGAAUGACUUUGUUCCAACCUUGUGGUAAUGAGUAAGUUCCCGCUCUACAAGUUCAUUCGAGAUCUGGUUGUUAAAGAAGCUUGGCAUCUCCUCCCUCUCUGUCACAUGUAGCAUGCUGGCUCCCCUUCCCCUUCUUCCAUGAUUGUAAGCUUCCUGAGACUCUCACCAGAAGCAGAUGCCAGUAAUAUGCUUUGUGUACAGCCUGUAGAACCACGAACCAACUAAACCUCUUUUCUUUAUAGGUUACCCAGUUUCAUAUAUUCCUUUAUAGCAAUGCAAACAGACUAACACAGCAACACAGCUGCCUUCCUCCUGUGGCCUCACAUGGCAGAUAGAGAGAGAGAAAGAGAGAGUGAGAGAGAGAGUGAGAGAGAGAGAGAGAGAGAAGGAGAUAGAGGGAAUGAGGUGGGGAAGCAAACUCUCUGGUGUCUCUUCUUAUAGGGGCACUAAUCCCAUCAUAAUGUUCCUACCCUCAUCUAAAACUAAUUACUUUCCAAAGGCCCUAUCUCUAAAUACCAUUAUAUUGAGGGUUUGGGCUUCCAUAUAUUUGAAUUUUAGGGGGAUACAGGUCAGUCCAUAGUACUAUAUAUCCUCAGUACAAUUCUCAGAGUUUGAUUACUUUCCAAUUCACAUGCUAAUUUUCACAUAUGAUGCAUGGUAAACAUAUGAAUUCGGAUAAUAUGAUUCAGUAACUUACAGGAUAAAUAUCCUCAAUUAUUGUUAAUUUCCAACCACCCCCUGGCUCUUUGUGUCACUCCCUCAAUAUUCAAAAUCCAUUGAGUAUCUGAUUGGAUAAGCCUAGGUUGCUGACACACAUCCUGGUUGUCUUCCACCAUGGGAGGUAAAGCCCUGAAUUCUUCACCUCUUGGGGCUUUCCCUAAAUCAGCUCAGGUUUGGGUAGACAAAAUGAAAUAAAAUAAAAUAAAUAAAACACAACAACCCACAAACCCAACUAUUUAUUAUAAAGAUGUUUAGAUAUUUUUCUUCAUUUUCAUGCUAUUUUAAAUGACAGUCUGGUAAAUAGCAAGGUUUUUGGUUAUUUUCAGGAUAGAUUCUCAGAAGCAAAGUUUUUGAGUCAAAGGUCUUAUAAAAAUUUUAAGACUUAUGAUAUAUACUGUCAAGUGACUUUUAAAAAUUUUUGUACCAAUUUUGUUCUCACUCCAGCCAUAUUGGACUGAUCCCAUUUCAUUGCGCCCACACUCCCACUGACCAAGACAUUUUCUUUUCUGUCAACAGUCCAUCAUUCUUUCUUGAAAACAUUACUGUCUUAUCUUUUAAUGCAACUUAGCAUUUCCCCACUGCUUUCUUGAUUUCUUCUGUAGCCCCUUAAGAAUACAUGGAGUGAGAAGGACACAAUGUCAUUUCUUUGGGAUUCUUGCCCCAAAUAUACAACCCUUAAGCUGAUUAUGAGAGAAUGUCAAACUCACUUGGAUAUUCCACAAAAAACCUGGCCUUCAAAAGUGUCAAGGUCAUAAAGACAAAGAAAGACUCAGAAGUUGUCCCUGACUAGGAGAGACUAAGGAGAUAAGAUUACUAAAUGCAAAGUGAGAUCCUGAACUGGGUCCUGGACCAGAAAAGGGCUAUUCAUGGAAAAACUAGUGAAAUUUGAAUAAUCUUUGUAUAUUAGUUAAUGAUAUAAUCUCUAUGUUUAUUUCCUGGUUUUGAUAAUUUCACUAUGGUUAUAUAAGAUGUUAACAUUAAGAGAAGCUGGGUGAAGGGUGUAUGAUAGUACCUUUCUGUACCUGUAUCAUGACUUUUCUGUAAGUCCAAACUUAUUUCAAAAUAAAGUUAAAAAACACUCCUGGUUUGUGAUGCUUAUAUCUUGUGUUUUGUCUGUAAAUAGUAAAAAAUAAGCAGCAAAAGUUAGUGUAGGGAUCCUGGUCUUAUUUCUUCUCUCCCCUAUUUUUACUUUCCAGUGUCUCCUUAUCUUAUGAAUAAUGGUAAAGAGGUGUCAUAAAUGUGGCAAAUCCCCCAUACCUCAUCCAAGGCAGACAUAGCUAACGGAUCCAGAGUCUUUUUCCAGUUGAGCUCAUUUUCUGCCAUCAUGGCUUGGUUGGAAUUGUCAUGCUAGUUAAGAUGUACUUAUUGUCUCUGCAUGAUGGGAUGCCUUACUGUUCUGUAAUUCUUAAUUGAUUUCUGAAAUUUGAUUUGAAACCAUGUAUUUGCACCACUUUACAUUUUAAUACAUGCUUCAUUUUUUCUAAAGUUUUCUUUAAAUAAUUUAAGUAUGCUUCUUCCAUUUGUUUCAUAACCAUGUACUCUGAGCUCUUUAAGCUGUGCUUGACAUUUUGUUAUUUCAG
rnacentral:lncRNA from 10 species